UAGGGAAUAUUGGGCAAUGGAUGCAAGUCUGACCCAGCCAUGCCGCGUGCCGGAUGAAGGCCCUCUGGGUUGUAAACUGCUUUUAUUCGGGAAUAAACCACAUUACGUGUAGUGUGCUGAAUGUACCGAAUGAAUAAGCACCGGCUAACUCCGUGCCAGCAGCCGCGGUAAUACGGAGGGUGCGAGCGUUGUCCGGAUUUAUUGGGUUUAAAGGGUGCGUAGGUGGCUUUUUAAGUCAGUGGUGAAAUACAGCCGCUCAACGGUUGAGGUGCCAUUGAUACUGAAGAGCUUGAAACAAGUGGAGGCUGCCGGAAUGGAUGGUGUAGCGGUGAAAUGCAUAGAUAUCAUCCAGAACACCGAUUGCGAAGGCAGGUGGCUACGUCUGAUUUGACACUGAGGCACGAAAGCAUGGGGAGCAAACA
rnacentral:rRNA from 1 species